UGCUGAAUACUCUUGGCAGGGUCC
rnacentral:misc_RNA from 1 species